AACGAACGCUGGCGGCAGGCCUAACACAUGCAAGUCGAACGCUCCGCAAGGGGGAGUGGCGCACGGGUGAGUAACACGUGGGAACCUACCUUCUGGUACGGAACAACCAAGGGAAACUUUGGCUAAGACCGUAUACGACCUCCGGGUGAAAGAUUGAUCGCCGGAAGAGGGGCCCGCGUCCGAUUAGGUAGUUGGUGAGGUAACGGCUCACCAAGCCUUCGAUCGGUAGCUGGUCUGAGAGGAUGACCAGCCACACUGGGACUGAGACACGGCCCAGACUCCUACGGGAGGCAGCAGUGGGGAAUAUUGGACAAUGGGCGCAAGCCUGAUCCAGCCAUGCCGCGUGAGGGAUGACGGCCU
rnacentral:rRNA from 1 species